AGAAGGUCUGGGUUUUACCGUUGUAACCAGAGAUUCUUCCGUCCACGGUCCUGGUCCUAUUCUGGUCAAAAACGUUCUGGCACGUGGAGCCGCUGUCAAAGAUGGACGCUUGCAGUCUGGAGAUCGCAUUCUUGAGGUCAACGGUGUGGAUACCACAGGUGUGGGCCAGGAGGAGCUGGUGUGUAUGCUCCGCAGCACGCGACAGGGAGAGAGUGUGUGUCUUGUGGUCCUACGGCAGGAAGACAUGUUCCUGCCCCGAGAGAUGGCUUGCCUUGAUGAUGCACAGCUCAGCAACCUAUAGGAAAUCGUCUUGUUAUACGCAAUAUUAUAAUAAUAUUUUCUGAACUAUUUUGAAAGAUAACACAUUUGCAGUCAUGUUUUCUCUUACCACGCAAUCGUGUAACACAGUAUUUCAUAGAACUCCAUUUUGAUUGAAUGAAACGAGCCCAUUGUAAAGCUUCUUCUUGAUAUUGGUAAACCAUUUUGGGUAAUCUUUCCUUUGCACUUGUUUCUGCUGAAUUUCAUCAC